rnacentral:rRNA from 1 species
UACGGAGGGAGCUAGCGUUGUUCGGAAUUACUGGGCGUAAAGCGCGCGUAGGCGGCUUUGUAAGUUAGAGGUGAAAGCCCGAGGCUCAACCUCGGAACUGCCUUCGAUACUGCGGGUCUCGAGUCCGGGAGAGGUGAGUGGAAUUCCUAGUGUAGAGGUGAAAUUCGUAGAUAUUAGGAAGAACACCAGUGGCGAAGGCGGCUCACUGGCCCGGUACUGACGCUGAGGCGCGAAAGCGUGGGGAGCAAACAGG